rnacentral:rRNA from 1 species
CUCUACAGCCAUACCACGAUGAACACCCCAGAUCUUCUCUGAUCUCAGAAGCUAAGUAAGAUUGUGUCUGGUUAGUAACUUGGAUGGGAGACCACCUAGGAAUACAGGGUGCUAUAUGGG